rnacentral:misc_RNA from 1 species
AAGAAUUUAGGAAGGAAGAAGAAGUAGGGAAAGAGAAAAUAGAAUAAAAAAACAGAGAGAAUUGUUAUUUCUUGGGAAAACAGCAAAAUGCCUUUACAAUGAGCUACAGCUGAGUUUAUAACUACUUGGCAGCUACUUGACAACCAUUUCCCCGCCAACUACAACUAAUACACUCAACUAUUUAACAACCAUUUCUCCUGCCAAUUACAACUAAUACAACUAAUCCUUAUUCUGCCUCGACCUUCUCCUCUGGUAUGUAACACCCCCUUAACAAAUUAAAGUCUCAUCAUUAGUAAAACCAACAGCCCUAAAUUCAUAUUAAUUCAAAUCAACAAUUGAAAAUGCAUUUAUUCUACUAACCACAUAUCCACUGAAAAUUCGGCAAAGUCUCCACUGCAACAAGACACAACCUGUAUAAAAUUGACAUCCUUGCUUGCACAAAUAUUUCAUACAAUUUUCUUCCCCAUAUUAAUAUCAACCGGAGCAUCUAAUUCAGGUUCCACAAAGUUGGUCCUAGGUUUCAGCUUAAAAGUAAUUUACUAGGAGAAAGAUCACAAGUUGAUUUAUGGUUUUAUAAGUAGAUUAAUUCAAUUGUUGACUUAAAAAAAAUAUCUAAUUAAUCAACAUGUAGUACCGCAUAAAUAAUUAUUAAGUUUACUUUUUUAUUUGCAAAUUUAAUUAAUAGGGAUUUGAAUGGCCUAAUUUAAGAUAGACCAUAGAUUAUUGCCUUGAAAAUCUAAUUAACUAAGGGGUGGCCCCUUAACCACUUAGAAUCUCAUCAUUAACAAUAAUCAAAGACCAAUU